rnacentral:lncRNA from 1 species
GUGGAAAGUGACGGUGGGCCUGGCUGGGUAUCGGCAGAGCUUUGUGAACUAGCUGACACUGGUAAAGCACAUUGCCCCGGGGAUGGCCCGACGCACUUGAACUUCGUGCCAGCACCGCUCCGAUGAGAUCAUUGCAUUUGGAGCCAACUCCAGACGAGGAUCGCGGAUGGGAAGGAAACCUCCAGGCCCUUCCCUCCACCCCCACAGGCUGCACCUCGGGAAGGGCGGGAACAGGGGCCAGGCCGGGCCGGUCAGCUCCCAGGUUGUCCGUGAGCACCCCGUCCCUUGGCCCUCUCCAGCACUGGCGGUUUGCGUAAGUGAGAAGAGAACAGGCGUCAAGCUGGGCAACACCAACUAACCCGGGUCUGCUGGAUGUCCCGUGUUUAUCUUUCUGAUUGUUCUCUUCUCAUGGCGACCGAUCGUUCACGUAUGCAUUUGACAUCUUCCUUGAGCAUGCUUGUGUGCCAGGCACCGUCUCAGGCCCAGGGACGCACAAGUCAACGAACACCUCUUGUCAUGUUGGUGCGGGGAACCGAGCAGUUGGUGUAGCUCGUGGUUCAAAUCCUGGCCCAGCCAUUCGCCAGCUGUUAACCUCAGGCAAGUGGCUCAACCUCUCGGGCCUCAGCUUCCUAACCCAUCAGGUGAUACGUCAGGAGAAGUGCUCGCCCCACCGACAGGCUUAAUAAAUGUU